rnacentral:rRNA from 1 species
UACGAGGGGGGCGAGCGUUGUUCGGAAUUAUUGGGCGUAAAGGGUGCGUAGGCGGUUCCGCAAGUCCUGUGUGAAAUCUUCGGGCUCAACUCGAAGUCUGCACGGGAAACUGCGGGGCUUGAGUGUGGGAGAGGUGAGUGGAAUUCCCGGUGUAGCGGUGAAAUGCGCAGAUAUCAGGAGGAACACCAGUAGCGAAGGCGGUGGUCUGGGCCGGUACUGACACUGAGGAGCGAAAGCGUGGGGAGCGAACAGG